rnacentral:rRNA from 1 species
GACGAACGCUGGCGGCGUGCUUAACACAUGCAAGUCGAGCGAUGAAAUCCCUUCGGGGAUGGAUUAGCGGCGGACGGGUGAGUAACACGUGGGCAACCUGCCUUAUAGAGAGGAAUAACCAUCCGAAAGGAUGAUUAAUACCUCAUAAUAUUGUAGCUUCGUAUGGAGCAACAAUCAAAGGAGCAAUCCACUAUAAGAUGGGCCCGCGGCGCAUUAGCUAGUUGGUGAGGUAACGGCUCACCAAGGCGACGAUGCGUAGCCGACCUGAGAGGGUGAUCGGCCACAUUGGGACUGAGACACGGCCCAGACUCCUACGGGAGGCAGCAGUGGGGAAUAUUGCACAAUGGGGGAAACCCUGAUGCAGCAACGCCGCGUGAGUGAUGACGGCCUUCGGGUUGUAAAGCUCUGUCUUCAGGGACGAUAAUGACGGUACCUGAGGAGGAAGCCACGGCUAACUACGUGCCAGCCGCCGCUGUAAAAC